GUGAAUUUGUAGCCUCCAAGGCUCACAUUCUCUAUCCUUUACACACCUGUGCACCGUUCUGAAGCGGAGAGUUAUUAGGCAUUAGCCGAGCGCCUCCCUUCGGUUAUUAUAUCAAAAUCGAACCACGUUUACAAGAAUGUACAUCGUCUUGUUGUAACGACAAGUACAAUCCAAUA
rnacentral:misc_RNA from 1 species